rnacentral:rRNA from 1 species
CCUACGGGUGGCAGCAGUGAGGAAUAUUGGUCAAUGGACGAGAGUCUGAACCAGCCAAGUAGCGUGAAGGAUGACUGCCCUAUGGGUUGUAAACCUCUUUUAUAUGGGAAUAAAACGUUCCACGAGUGGGAUUUUGUAUGUACCAUAUGAAUAAGGAUCGGCUAACUCCGUGCCAGCAGCCGCGGUAAUACGGAGGAUCCGAGCGUUAUCCGGAUUUAUUGGGUUUAAAGGGUGCGUAGGUGGGUUGUUAAGUCAGUUGUGAAAGUUUGCGGCUCAACCGUAAAAUUGCAGUUGAAACUGGCAGUCUUGAGUACAGUAGAGGUAGGCGGAAUGCGUGGUGUAGCGGUGAAAUGCUUAGAUAUCACGCAGAACUCCGAUUGCGAAGGCAGUUCACUGGACUGCAACUGACACUGAGGCACGAAAGUGUGGGUAUCAAACAGGAUUAGAUACCCCUGUAGUC